CCUACGGGUGGCAGCAGUGGGGAAUAUUGCACAAUGGGCGAAACCCUGAUGCAGCGACGCCGCGUGAGGGAAGAAGGAUUUCGGUAUGUAAAGCUCUUUUAGGAGGGAAGAGAAGGAGGCGGUCUCACUAGGAUACGCCAGGGCUAACGACGGGAGAGGCGCCGGGGUAAUACGUAGGUGGAACGCGUUGUCCGGAUUUACUGGGUGUAAAGGGCGUGCAGGCGGGAAGACAAGACAGAUGUGAAACCCCGCGGCUCAACCGCGGAACUGCUUUUGAAACUGUCUUUCUAGAUUGCCGGAGAGGUCAUCGGAAUUCCUGGUGUAGCGGUGAAAUGCGUAGAUAUAAGGAAGAACACCAGUGGCGAAGGCGGAUUACUGGACUGCAAAUGACGGUGAGGCUCGAAAGCGUGGGGAGCAAACAGGAUUAGAUACCCCAGUAGUC
rnacentral:rRNA from 1 species